UACGAAGGUGGCAAGCGUUGUUCGGAUUUACUGGGCGUACAGGGAGCGUAGGCGGUUGGGUAAGCCCUCCGUGAAAUCUCCGGGCCUAACCCGGAAAGUGCGGAGGGGACUGCUCGGCUAGAGGAUGGGAGAGGAGCGCGGAAUUCCCGGUGUAGAGGUGAAAUUCGUAGAUAUCGAGAGGAACACCGGUGGCGAAGGCGGCGAUCUGGACGAUGACUGACGGCUGAGACGCGAAAGCGUGGGGAGCAAACAGG
rnacentral:rRNA from 1 species